AUUGAACGCUGGCGGCAUGCCUUACACAUGCAAGUCGAACGGCAGCACGGGAGCAAUCCUGGUGGCGAGUGGCGAACGGGUGAGUAAUAUAUCGGAACGUGCCCAGUCGUGGGGGAUAACGUAGCGAAAGCUACGCUAAUACCGCAUACGAUCUAUGGAUGAAAGCGGGGGAUCGCAAGACCUCGCGCGAUUGGAGCGGCCGAUAUCAGAUUAGGUAGUUGGUGAGGUAAAGGCUCACCUAGGCGACGAUCCGUAACUGGUCUGAGAGGAUGAUCAGUCACACUGGAACUGAGACACGGUCCAGACUCCUACGGGAGGCAGCAGUGGGGAAUAUUGGACAAUGGGCGGAAAGCCGUGAUCCAGCCAUGCCGCGUGUGUGAAGAAGGUCUUCGGA
rnacentral:rRNA from 1 species